CCUACGGGUGGCAGCAGUGAGGAAUAUUGGUCAAUGGGCGGGAGCCUGAACCAGCCAAGCCGCGUGAGGGAAGAAGGUACAGCGUAUCGUAAACCUCUUUUGUCAGGGAGCAAAUGCGGGGACUAGUCCCCGGAUGCGGGUCCCUGAAGAAAACGCAUCGGCAAACUCCGGGCCAGCAGCCGCGGUAAUACGGGGGAUGCGAGCGUUAUCCGGGUUUAUUGGGUUAAAGGGGUGCGCAGGCGGCCGGUUAAGGCAGCGGUAAAAGCCCGGGGCUCAACCCCGGCGAGCCGUUGAAACUGGGGGGGUGGAGUUGGAGAGAAGUACGCGGAAUGCGCGGUGUAGCGGUGAAAUGCUUAGAUAUCGCGCAGAACCCCGAUUGCGAAGGCAGCGUACCGGCUCCAAACUGACGCUGAGGCACGAAAGCGUGGGUAUCGAACAGGAUUAGAUACCCGAGUAGUC
rnacentral:rRNA from 1 species